CACACAGUAGCUUAAUUAAGGCGCCUGCCUCUCAAGCAGGAGAUGAAGGUCUCAAUCCUUCCUGUGUAG
rnacentral:tRNA from 1 species